rnacentral:lncRNA from 1 species
UAUAACUCAUCAUAUCCUAGUGUCUAACAUUAUGUUUUGCACAUCGUAGAUGCUUUGUGAUUAUGGUAUUUACAUAAAUGAUAUUCUGUGUCUCAGGAGAGCUAAAAUUGUUUCUAGGUAAAAACAUCUUUAGAUAGAAGAAUUGACUGAAAAAAUGGAAAUACUACACGUCUAGCAGUGCUUUCUUAUAUUAGGAAAAUCUUGAGAGGUUGGGAGAAAAUGGACAAUGGAGUUUCACUAAAGUAUAAUAUUCCAGAAGCAAGCGUAUCUUUUUUUGUCUUUAACUCUGAAGAAGUAGAGUAUAUGAAGCAAAGCGCUUUAUUUUUGGAUGGCUGGUCCUGCUGCAUAAUCUCAGAACCAGCAUGUGCGUUCCUCUUAAUCUCAAGUCAGCACCCAGAUCUCCGAUUGAAGAUCAGCAGUACGUGUUGUCAUGGCCGAACUUCUCCAUCCUCUUCAUUCUUCUUUCUACUGGAGACAGUUGCAGAGACUGGCUUGCUUGUGAUCCUGGACUCCCUUGACUUCCUGGUGCAGGAGCCCUUGUUCAAAAUCUGUACAUGAAAUACUGGUUAGAGUAUUUGUAGUUCUGGAACCUAUGUGGCCUUGCCCCCUCCCUACCAAAUCCCAGCCUUCUCCACAGAGAAGCAGCGCAUUGAAAUCUUCCUCACAGGGCUCUUAGGAUGUGACAAUAGACUUUUUUUUCCCACACAGUUUAAUUUAGUCUUCACUGAAUCAUGCUAAAAUACACAUCUGUACAUCACUAAAACAUUUUGCAAACUUCCUCCAAAAAAUGAUCCGUAUAUUUUUUUAUCAUUGAAUAUCAUUGAAUGAUAUCAAUGAAUAUCAAAGAUCUCUCCUUAUUUUCAAUGUCACACAUCUAGUUUUCAAGUUAAAGCAAUAAGUAUUUAUUUCUGUAAAAACAUUCACCAGAAUACAGAACAGAAAUAUAAAAUAUAAGAAUGAAUACUUUGAUAUCAAGUGUGGGUGACCUAACUAAAAUCCAUUCCUCUCUCUCGUGGAAGGAGAGGGAAGUAACAGGAACACUCAGUAGGAUGCCACUGGUAUGAUGUUACCUGGUGCAACACAAGACUGUCCAUCGACAAGGGAUAUAUUUGUAUUUAAUAAAAGCAUGAAUGCAUAAAUGAGCUUGAUGAAC